GGAGCUGUAGCUCAGCUGGUUAGAGCGCACGCCUGAUAAGCGUGAGGUCGGAGGUUCAAGUCCCCCCAGCUCCACCA
rnacentral:tRNA from 1 species